rnacentral:tmRNA from 1 species
GGGGGCGACAUGGUUUCGACAGAGAUUCUGAACCCUUAGGUGCAUGUCGGGUAGGUACGCCCGUUACCCAGGCCAACUUGCAAUAAUUGCAAACGACGAAGUAGAACUAGCUUACGCUGCGUAAGUUACCCUGCUCUUGAGUUGUCCAUCGCUUGAGAAUCCAGGGUCAAACAGAUGGAAUCGCUAUUUGGGAAGUGGAGACUCGUGCUUGCCAAGGUUAAAUAGUAACGAGACGACCUAUUGAUUCCUUGUCCGUUAGGCUUUCAAUAGGUGCUGUUUUAACGGAAUAAACAUGUAGAGCCUCUGGCUGAUGGUUUUUGGACGUGGGUUCGAAUCCCACCGCUUCCACCA